AUCCCUAACCUCAACACAUGAGGACUCUAAACAUCACUCAACAAUAUAAAAGUAUUCAGUGGUUAAAACCUUCAAACUACUAAUCGAAUGAGAAGAUCGAUUACAAGAAAAUAGGGAAACAGAAAACCCUAGCUAGAGAGCACAGAAGAACUCUCUCGAACCUCACUCGAAAAGUCAGACGAAUGAACGGUCUCCCAGCCAAAUGAAGCGUCAAGUCACUUUUAUAUCACCAGAAAAUGUAACCCUUCUUCCAAUGGUAGAAAUAGUGUCAAAUGUCAUCAUCAGGCAGAAUGCCACUUAUAAAGUCACAUUUUCAUAAUGCGUUUAAUAGGCUGAAAAUAUGGGAACGACAAUACCACAGUUAGAAUCACAACAAUAAUAAAUUACUCCAUAAAACUCCGGCGGUUGGCACUUAUCGUCUCGCCCAUUAAAAUGGCCUUCUGCCACAACCCACCCUGCCCAAAUCCUUCAUUGACUUUGGCGUCGAAUUCUUCCCCG
rnacentral:lncRNA from 1 species